UCGGGGCCGCUGCGGACGGAAGGGCGCCUGUGCUUCGUCCGCUCGGCGGUGGCCCA
rnacentral:pre_miRNA from 10 species